GACGAACGCUGGCGGCGUGCUUAACACAUGCAAGUCGAACGGAAAGGCCCUGCUUUUGUGGGGUGCUCGAGUGGCGAACGGGUGAGUAACACGUGAGUAACCUGCCCUUGACUUUGGGAUAACUUCAGGAAACUGGGGCUAAUACCGGAUAGGAGCUCCUGCUGCAUGGUGGGGGUUGGAAAGUUUCGGCGGUUGGGGAUGGACUCGCGGCUUAUCAGCUUGUUGGUGGGGUAGUGGCUUACCAAGGCUUUGACGGGUAGCCGGCCUGAGAGGGUGACCGGCCACAUUGGGACUGAGAUACGGACCAGACUCCUACGGGCGGCAGCAGUGGGGAAUAUUGCACAAUGGGCGGAAGCCUGAUGCAGCAACGCCGCGUGCGGGAUGACGGCCUUCGGGUUGUAAACCGAUUUCGACUGUGACGAAGCGUGAGUGACGGUAAUGGGUAAAGAAGCACCGGCUAACUACGUG
rnacentral:rRNA from 1 species